CAGCUGGGUAUGGCGGCAGGUGUCUGUAAUCCCAGCUACUCAGGAGGCUGAGGCAGGAGAAUCGCUUGAACCUGGGAGGUGGAGGUUGCAGUGAGCUGAGAUGGUAUCAUUGCAUUCCAGCCUGGUGACAAGAGGGAAACUCCGUCUCAGAAAAAAAAAAAAGAAAUCAUGCAGCAUUUGGCAACAGGGGUGAAUUUGGGAAGCCUGGGCCGUUCACUAAGGCCAUGCCAAUCACCUUCGUUAAUUGCUGAUGACAAGAGCUAGGAUUUGCAAGACAAAUAUGGCUUAUACUUUAGAGGAAUGGGAUUCGAAGAUGGAGAAAUAAAACGCCAAAAUCAAAAAAAUUUUAUGAAUGUCAUUUCUUUCUGAUAUCAUGAUAAUUCUCAUUACAAUAAAAAGAACCUGUGAGAUGAUUCCAUUUCUGGUGAGCGGAAAGUGCCGAGCGACUCUCCUUCUCAAGGAAGGUUGAGGAUUUUUGCACUUUGAAAUCCAACUAUGCAACUCAUUAUUUCUUUCAACUGUGGCCACAUUCAGGAUCCCAUGGUGUACUAAAAUCUCUUUGAAUCAGAAAGCAAAGAAGAAGGAAGAAACAUUGGCGUUUUCCCUGUCUCCAGCAUGGCUGUAGGAUGCAGAGUGAUUGAAAAUGGACAUUUAUUAAGAUGAUUAAUGUGUGCCCUCGGUUCUACGAGAUUGUCUGUAUAAAUUGUCUUUCCCUAUUCAGUCUUUGUAAUUUGCGCCUUCUCUAUUUUUCGGUAGAUAUUUUUUGCAUUUGGGGAGGUUUACUUUUUUUUUUUUUUUUUUUUAUAAAGUUUGCCUUUAUAGUAAGACUUUCAUACAAUACCAUUUGCAUUAGACGAAGGCCUAGUCAUGAGAAAAUCACAUCCGUUAACUGACCAGGGAGCAUUUACUCUAAUUAUUAACUCGGAAAAGAGAAGAGCUCCUAAUGGAUAAAGAGCACACGGGACAGCUGUGCAGGGAGCAAGUACCGCCUCCAGGGCUAAGGCAGGGCCCUAGGGAAGGAACACACUGAGAAAAAGCUCCCCACCCCAUGUACCCCAGGAAAGGAUGUGGCGCAGCGCCACUGCAUAUUCUGCUCCUAGAGACCAAAUUGUAAAAAUAACCUGCAUCAACUUGCAUGUAAAAAUAUACUGGUGGGGCCGGGCGCGGUGGCUCACACCUGUAAUCCCAGCACUUUGGGAGGCCGAUGUGAGUGGAUCACCUGAGGUCAAGAGUUCGAGACCAGCCUGGCCAACAUGGCGAAAACCCAUCUCUACUAAAAAUACAAAAUUAGCUGGGCAUGGUGGCGGGCGCCUGUAAUUCCAGCUACUCUGGAGGUUGAGGCAGGAGAAUCGCUUGAGCCUGGGAGGCAGAGGUUGCAGUGAACCGGGAUCACGCCAUAGCACUUUAGUCUGGGUGACAGACUCAGACACUGUCUCAAAAAAAAAAAAAAUACUGGUAGGAGAGAAAAAGAAAAUGGUUAGGACGUCUAAAUAAAAACACACAGAGGAGCAAAAAUAUGCAAAGCUACUUGUUUCUGUAUUGGUCAUGAGGCCGUAGUUGACAUAUUUGGCUUCCUUUGUCAAUGACUUGUUCCGUAUUUCCCCAGCUUUAGCUAGAACCUCUGCUCAUGCUGU
rnacentral:lncRNA from 1 species